rnacentral:rRNA from 1 species
UACGUAGGGUGCGAGCGUUGUCCGGAACUAUUGGGCGUAAAGAGCUUGUAGGCGGUUUGUCGCGUCUGCUGUGAAAAUCCGGGGCUCAACCCCGGACUUGCAGUGGGUACGGGCAGACUGGAGUGUGGUAGGGGAGACUGGAAUUCCUGGUGUAGCGGUGGAAUGCGCAGAUAUCAGGAGGAACACCGAUGGCGAAGGCAGGUCUCUGGGCCACUACUGACGCUGAGAAGCGAAAGCAUGGGGAGCGAACAGG